UUAAGUAUAAUACAAUUUAUCUACUUGAAGUUUAAGUCAUAUAAUUUUCUAGGUCUCACUCAAUGUGAAAUGGUAAACUAUUGUCAAUUUGUGCUAAAUUUUAAGGGAAUAGAUAGUUUUUCUAUUUAUUGACAUAAUCAUAAAAGCGAAGAAGCCUUUUUCUAGCUGAACCGUUGAAAUGACAAAUUAGGCAAACUUUGACAUAAUAAAUGAUACUUGAGGGGCUCAAAUAGUACACACUGUAACAUAAAAUUUUAUUAUUUUAAUGGCACCUAAUCAGCUGAUCGGCUUCUCGUUUACCUGUGAUCUGAAAUCUGAAUCACCGAAAAAAAAAUGGAAACAAGCUCACACACCAAUCUGAGUUGAUAUGUUUGUUUUCUCCGAGGAAACAUUUACUGCCGCCGUGUUCAAGGCCAUAGUCACUCGAUUUGGCCAAUUCACAUAGUGCCAUUCCUCUGCUUUAGGCAACAUAUAGGUCGACCUUAUGAGAGUAUCUAAGAUUAAUAAUGUUUUUUUUUUUAACAAAUGACAGGUAAAAACAGCUCUUCUUCCAUGUAGUGAUACCACAUGAAAAAAAGGCAUUCUUAAGGCAAAGAAUAUCAGUUCUAUAGAAGCUGAAACCGAUAGAGGAAAGCAAAUAUUUUUAAUUGCAUCCAUGUGUCUGAAGGUGCAUUGAAGCGGUGGAAAUAAAUUGUGUCUGGUUGCAUUUUUACAGCCAUCGGCUACCUGUGGAGGAAUUAGCAGGAAAUUUAUCAAUAAACGGUGAGUCAGGGGGCCAGUUGUAGAUUUUUUGGUUCGGGAAACAUGAACCUAAGCUGCUCACAAAAUCCUUUUUUUUUUCAGUAAAAAAAUGUUUUGCAUUUCCCGUUACUUCUGUCUUCUUAAUAUAUCAGUCAAUGUUUGUAACACACUUUGUUUGGAUAAAAAAACUUAAUAAAAACCAAUAUUAUACUCAAAGAUAGGUACAUGAUAAUAAAUAAUAAUUAAAUCUCUUCAGAUAACGCUUCCACAAAAUAAUCCUUGGAAACGUCUUUUAUUUUAAAUUUCAAUCUAUAAUGAAUGAUUUGAAAAUAUAUUAACAAAAAGCAAUCAAUACAAUAUAUUUUAAUUUUAAAAAAAAAAAAAAUUAUAAUAAUAAACCAAUGAAAAAAUAACCAUUAUUUGUUAGUUGUUACACAUCUUUAACUAUUGUAUACUCAGUGUUCCAACUUUGACAUUUUAAGUGAUUUGUCUCAAAAAUGAGCAAACACAGGCAGUGUUGUUAUAACAUAUUAUUAAGUUUUAAUAUUGUUCGUCGUAUGGAUUACG